AGCCCUGACCCCAGGCUCCUCCUCAGAAAGGUGGAACCCAGGGAGAGGGGGGACCCCAGGUGACUGUCAGGACCAGGGAAGUAAUUUGUAACUCAGAGCCAGAGG